rnacentral:ncRNA from 2 species
UAUAUAUCAAGAGGCGGCCAGGGACCCAGCCCCGUGACCCGCCAACAACCUCCUGCAGGGCAGGAAAGGUGCUAAAGCUGGAAUUACGAUAUGAG